rnacentral:rRNA from 1 species
UACAGAGGUCUCAAGCGUUGUUCGGAUUCAUUGGGCGUAAAGGGUGUGUAGGUGGCGCCGUAAGUCGGGUGUGAAAUUUCGGAGCUUAACUCCGAAACUGCAUUCGAUACUGCGGUGCUUGAGGACUGGAGAGGAGACUGGAAUUCAUGGUGUAGCAAUGAAAUGCGUAGAGAUCAUGAGGAAGACCAGUGGCGAAGGCGGGUCUCUGGACAGUUCCUGACACUGAGACACGGAGGCCAGGGGAGCAAACGGG